rnacentral:hammerhead_ribozyme from 1 species
AUUAGCUAACGAGUCCAAAAUAGGACUAAAUGCGCGUCCUGGAU